GCCCGCCUAGCUCAAUCGGAUAGAGCGUCAGACUUUUAUUCUGGGGUGGCAUUCCUGAAAUUGGAAAUCUGAAGGCUGCGAGUUCGACCCUCGCGGUGGGCU
rnacentral:tRNA from 1 species